rnacentral:pre_miRNA from 1 species
CUUUGGAUACUAACGGCGGAAAACUCGCACGUGUCCUCGUCAACUUCACGAUUUCACGGCGAGUGUUCCCACGUUAUUUCCAAUU